GGUUUCAGUGAGUGAGGAGGUUUGCCAGCAUCUACUUCUUCCGGCAACAAUCCACUUUGACUGUGGGUUGAGCGGUAUCACAGCGUAUACCUCCGACCUUGAUCAACUGAGGAAUCCCUAUUUCUUGGUUGAUGCUGUCAGGAGGGAGUUCCAGUUGCUAGUCCCCUGCAGACCUCCAGCU